rnacentral:hammerhead_ribozyme from 1 species
AUCCAGCUGACGAGCAUCAAAUAGGACGAAACGUGCGUCCUGGAU